CGCUGACAGGGCCUACCGCUCAACAUCCUCCUGUUGCUGACUUUGGUCUGGCCAAGAUCCAGCACGAAGACGACACAGCCAUGUGUCUACGCUGGUGAUGGGGACUUUCGGGAAGAAGAAGGUUGUUCACAAGAAGAUGGCAGGAAGAAGCAGGCUGAUUCCAUUCGAUCCUCAAGGACAAAGAAGUUGGAAGAAGCAUAGUUCUAGCUCAUUGGAGCUAGUUUUGGGAGUAAUGAAGCACUUUAGGAUGAUCCUAUUUGUAUGUGUGUUAUAUGAUGUAGACUCUACACUUGUAGACUCAUGUGGUAGACUCAUGUGGUAGACUGUACACUUGUAGGGCUCAUGUGAUAAUCAUGUGGUAGACUGUACACUUGUAGAGUUGUUAUCCAAUUGUAAACUUGAUGCUGAUCACAUUGUACGUAUGUUAUAUGAUGUAGCAGAUUGCUUCUUGCUGUUA